ACCAAUGCAUCCUCAGAGCUCCGAGGGAAAAGCAACGACGAUGGCUGGCAGCUGAGGGAGAGACCAGCAUCCCCAGAACUCCCUUUUGGUCCUUGUCCAGACUUCAAGGUCUCCAUGGACCACUUUGAGCCAUAUACGUCUGCCAGUCAGUGGCCUCUGCACCCACGUCAGAAGCAGCAGAAAUCCAAAGAGCCCUUGGCCUCUGGAGGCGGCAGCAGGAGUGCUCUCCGAAAAGAGACUGGGCCAGCCGGUGGGAGCCCAGCGCCCACCCACCGCUCAUCCUACAGCAGGACCAACCCCCCGCCAACCCCCAGCCUCCGGAUCCUCUCUCCAGGCCUUGGAGGAGGCUGCAGACCGGUUUAGAUACUCUGGGGUCCUAACUCAGCCCAUAGGGAUCAGAAAAGGCUUCCUGGAGGAGAAGACACUAAGCCAAGCUGGGUUAAAGCCAAGCCCCCUGUACAUGUCUGGGCAUCCCAGA
ensembl:lncRNA EPB41L1-AS1 EPB41L1 antisense RNA 1